rnacentral:lncRNA from 1 species
GCUCAGGUCUUGCUCUGGGAGUGGUAAUUAAUGGCAAAAAGAUGCUAAGUGUGAAAUAAUCAUUCAGCAAAGCUCUCGGGACAUUUUCUCAGGGCCAGGUGUUAAGAUCUGCUCAACAGGAACAACUCCGUGCAGGAAAUGGAAAACGAACACACACUAUGUAAAACUCCAGCUGUAAUGUGAGGUGGUUUGGAACUGAGGAGAAGGAUAUUUUGUUUGGUGUUUUCUCCAUCAUAUGCCCUUUGCCUGAGACAAUCUUGCUGUACAGCCCAGGCUGGCCUUGAAUUCAUAUCAGUUCUCCUGGUUCAGCCUCCCGAGUGCUGGGAUUACAGGCACGUCCCACCAUGCCUGGCAAUUUCUGAAGCUUAGUGCACAUCUUCAAAAUUUAUGUUCAGGAGUUCCUUUAUUC